rnacentral:rRNA from 1 species
AUUGAACGCUGGCGGCAGGCCUAACACAUGCAAGUCGAGCGGAUGAAGGGAGCUUGCUCCUGGAUUCAGCGGCGGACGGGUGAGUAAUGCCUAGGAAUCUGCCUGGUAGUGGGGGAUAACGUCCGGAAACGGGCGCUAAUACCGCAUACGUCCUGAGGGAGAAAGUGGGGGAUCUUCGGGCCUCACGCUAUCAGAUGAGCCUAGGUCGGAUUAGCUAGUUGGUGGGGUAAAGGCCUACCAAGGCGACGAUCCGUAACUGGUCUGAGAGGAUGAUCAGUCACACUGGAACUGAGACACGGUCCAGACUCCUACGGGAGGCAGCAGUGGGGAAUAUUGGACAAUGGGCGAAAGCCUGAUCCAGCCAUGCCGCGUGUGUGAAGAAGGUCUUCGGAUUGUAAAGCACUUUAAGUUGGGAGGAAGGGCAGUAAGUUAAUACCUUGCUGUUUUGACGUUACCAACAGAAAAAGCACCGGCUAACUUCGUG